rnacentral:lncRNA from 1 species
GUUAAACCCAACUGCUUUACUGUAAGGGAAGAUCUCUCCAUGUUCACCUAUUGUAACCCAACCAAGUUAUGAUCUGUCAACCUAAGAUCUAGAACAGUUAGGACCGUUGAGGAAUCCCACCUCAGCAGAGCGUUGUAGAGAUGGCUUCCUGGAUGAAUUUUGCUGACCACUUGGGAUCCUGCCUAAAGGAAAGCCUUGGGAAACUAAUUUACAACUGUGUAUAAAGUGAGAGAACUCCACAGAGAUUUGCCUUUGAAGAUUUUCUAGUUGCAUGUGACCAAGAUUUGCUGUAAUAGACUACUCUUUGUUAUAUGAACUAACAAAUGAGUAUUGAGUCGGCCAGAUAGAACAGGUCUCUGAAAACUGAGACUACCUAGGAAAUGAAGAAAAAAUAUCUUAGUGUCUUCAACAUCAUUCUAUUGGCAGAAAUAAGACUCAUUUUCUGGAGAGAAUUUUAAAUGGGCCCUAUUCCUCUUUGAAACAUUUGAACAGACAUAAAACACAAUUCAUCAAUUUUCCUAUCAGAUCCUUUUAUUGCAGCAGAAAAUUGUUCCAAAUAAAUUCUCGUGAUAAAGCUUGUAAUAGUGAAUACAAUAGAAUGCUGAAAGUAUUGUGUGAACAGAAAUAAUAAAUAUGGUAUCCAAACCCAUUGUAAGUUUCAGUAAAUCAUAUCCAUCAACUCAUUUCUCUUGAAUAAAAGAGAACUGUGAUUUUAUUCCUCCCUAUGGAUGUUUUUCCACUGUUUGAUAGAAAAAAAGAAAACAUGCACU